CAAUUUUUUUCUUCAUUGGUGGUAGUGUAUAUAUCCUGGCAGCUCCCGGAGCUAGAAAUAAAAACAGGUGAGUGCAAAAUAUGCAAGAUAUGCAAGAAAACUCGACAGAAGACACAAGACAGAGCUUUUCCAAGAUAAUGAAGGUCUUCACUGAUAUAUGAAGAACUAAUGGCAAUAAUAAUAAUAAUAAUGCAAAAAAAUAAAGAC